UGGGGAAUUUUGGACAAUGGGCGAAAGCCUGAUCCAGCAAUGCCGCGUGUGUGAAGAAGGCCUUCGGGUUGUAAAGCACUUUUGUCCGGAAAGAAAUCCUUGGCUCUAAUACAGUCGGGGGAUGACGGUACCGGAAGAAUAAGCACCGGCUAACUACGUGCCAGCAGCCGCGGCAAUACGUAGGGUGCAAGCGUUAAUCGGAAUUACUGGGCGUAAAGCGUGCGCAGGCGGUUUGCUAAGACCGAUGUGAAAUCCCCGGGCUCAACCUGGGAACUGCAUUGGUGACUGGCAGGCUAGAGUAUGGCAGAGGGGGGUAGAAUUCCACGUGUAGCAGUGAAAUGCGUAGAGAUGUGGAGGAAUACCGAUGGCGAAGGCAGCCCCCUGGGCCAAAUACUGACGCUCAUGCACGAAAGCGUGGGGAGCAAAACAGGAUUAGAUACCCUGGUAGUCCACGCCCUAAAACGAUGUCAACUAGUUGUUGGGGAUUCAUUUCCUUAGUAACGUAGCUAACGCGUGAAGUUGACCGCCUGGGGAGUACGGUCGCAAGAUUAAAAACUUAAAGGAAUUGACGGGGUCAUAGCUGUUUCCU
rnacentral:rRNA from 1 species